GACGAACGCUGGCGGCGUGCCUAAUACAUGCAAGUCGAGCGGGGUCAAUGAGAAGCUUGCUUCUCUGAGACUUAGCGGCGGACGGGUGAGUAACACGUAGGCAACCUGCCCAUAAGACUGGGGAUAACUACCGGAAACGGUAGCUAAUACCGGAUAGGUUCUUCUCUCGCAUGAGAGAAGAAAGAAAGACGGAGCAAUCUGUCACUUAUGGAUGGGGCCUGCGGCGCAUUAGCUAGUUGGUGGGGUAAAGGCCUACCAAGGCGACGAUGCGUAGCCGACCUGAGAGGGUGAUCGGCCACACUGGGACUGAGACACGGCCCAGACUCCUACGGGUGGCAG
rnacentral:rRNA from 1 species